rnacentral:rRNA from 1 species
GUUUAAUUCGAAGCAACGCGAAGAACCUUACCAAAUCUUGACAUCCUUUGACAACUCUAGAGAUAGAGCCUUCCCCUUCGGGGGACAAAGUGACAGGUGGUGCAUGGUUGUCGUCAGCUCGUGUCGUGAGAUGUUGGGUUAAGUCCCGCAACGAGCGCAACCCUUAAGCUUAGUUGCCAUCAUUAAGUUGGGCACUCUAAGUUGACUGCCGGUGACAAACCGGAGGAAGGUGGGGAUGACGUCAAAUCAUCAUGCCCCUUAUGAUUUGGGCUACACACGUGCUACAAUGGACAAUACAAAGGGCAGCGAAACCGCGAGGUCAAGCAAAUCCCAUAAAGUUGUUCUCAGUU